rnacentral:rRNA from 1 species
CGCGGGAAUUCGAUUUUCCGGUUGAUCCUGCCGGAGAUCACUGCUAUCAGGAUUCGAUUAAGCCAUGCGAGUCGAGAGGGUUCGGCCCUCGGCAUACUGCUCAGUAACACGUGGAUAAUCUACCCUCGGGCGGGGGACAAUCUCGGGAAACUGAGGAUAAUACCCCAUAGACAUCCGAUGCUGGAAUGCCCGGAUGUUGAAAGCUCCGGCGCCUGAGGAUGAGUCUGCGGCCUAUCAGGUCGUAGUGAGUGUAACGGACUCACUAGCCUACGACGGGUACGGGCCUUGAGAGAGGUAACCCGGAGAUGGACUCUGAGACACGAGUCCAGGCCCUACGGGGCGCAGCAGGCGCGAAAACUUCGCAAUGCGGGAAACCGCGACGAGGGAAUCCUGAGUGCCUAUACAUUUGUAUAGGCUGUUUAUGUGCCUAAAAAGCACGUAGAGUAAGAGCUGGGUAAGACCGGUGCCAGCCGCCGCGGUAAUACCGGCAGCUCGAGUGGUGGUCGUUUUUACUGGGCCUAAAGCGUCCGUAGCCGGUUGAGUAAAUCCCUGGGUAAAUCGUGUCGCUUAACGAUACGACUUCCGGGGACACUGCUCGACUUGGGACCGGGAGAGGUUGGAGGUACUCCGGGGGUAGGGGUGAAAUCCUGUAAUCCCCGGGGGACCACCUGUGGCGAAGGCGUCCAGCUAGAACGGCUCCGACGGUAAGGGACGAAGCCCUGGGUCGCAAACCGGAUUAGAUACCCGGGUAGUCCAGGGUGUAAACGCUGCGGGCUUGGUGUUGGAGGUUCUACGAGUUC